rnacentral:rRNA from 1 species
AUGGUGUCCGUCAGCUUCAAGAUCCAUGGAGCCGUUGCUGCUCUCCUCCUGGGCUCCCUCCUCCUCUGUUCCGGUGCGUCCAUGGACGAGCCGGCUGCCUACAAGCAUGUCGCUCCAGCUCCGGCGCCGGCGCCGAUCCAGCCGGUGAUCAUCGUCCAGGGUCUCAUCUACUGCAAGUCCUGCAACCUCCGCGGCUACAACGCCGGCAUGGACGCCUCGCCUCUCGCCAACGCGACGGCGAAGCUGGUGUGCUACGGGAGCAAGGGCGGGUACAGGGUGCUGAACAUGACGAGCACGGCGACGGACGAGAGCGGCUACUUCCUGGUGAUGGUGUACGACCUGUCCAUGUUCAGCCGGCGCAGCUGCCGGGUGUACCUCCGCACCUCGCCCACGCCGCUCUGCGACGCGCCCUUCCUCCCGGCCGACGCCUCGCUGGGGAUCGUCCUCAAGAGGGAGGAGGUGAGGCCGUCGUCGCCGGCGGGCGUGCGCGGCGUCUACAGCGCCAGGACCGCGCUCAUGUACGCGCCGCGCAAGGGCGGCAAGUGCCCCGCCUACAACUACUGA